rnacentral:rRNA from 1 species
GCACAGAGAAGCUUGCUUCUUGGGUGGCGAGUGGCGAACGGGUGAGUAAUAUAUCGGAACGUACCGAGCAGUGGGGGAUAACUAAUCGAAAGAUUAGCUAAUACCGCAUAUUUUCUGAGGAAGAAAGCAGGGGACCAUUUGGCCUUGCGCUGUUUGAGCGGCCGAUAUCUGAUUAGCUAGUUGGUGGGGUAAAGGCCUACCAAGGCGACGAUCAGUAGCGGGUCUGAGAGGAUGAUCCGCCACACUGGGACUGAGACACGGCCCAGACUCCUACGGGAGGCAGCAGUGGGGAAUUUUGGACAAUGGGCGCAAGCCUGGUCCAGCCAUGCCGCGUGUCUGAAGAAGGCCUUCGGGUUGUAAAGGACUUUUGUCAGGGAAGAAAAGGACAGGGUUAAUACCCCUGUCUGAUGACGGUACCUGAAGAAUAAGCACCGGCUAACUACGUGCCAGCAGCCGCGGUAAUACGUAGGGUGCGAGCGUUAAUCGGAAUUACUGGGCGUAAAGCGGGCGCAGACGGUUACUUAAGCAGGAUGUGAAAUCCCCGGGCUCAACCUGGGAACUGCGUUCUGAACUGGGUGACUAGAGUGUGUCAGAGGGAGGUAGAAUUCCACGUGCAGCAGUGAAGUGCGUAGAGAUGUGGAGGAAUACCGAUGGCGAAGGCAGCCUCCUGGGAUAACACUGACGUUCAUGCCCGAAAGCGUGGGUAGCAAACAGGAUUAGAUACCCUGGUAGUCCACGCCCUAAACGAUGUCGAUUAGCUGUUGGGCAGCUUGACUGCUUAGUAGCGAAGCU